CUGUGCUUUACGGAGUCCUCCGUGCUCAAGUGUCAGAAGCACUGGUAUAGGAUCAAGCAGCCCUCAGACACAUUUUCCAAAUAGGUCUAAAUUACACAAAAUUGAGUUGGGGACAGCAAAAGAAAAGAAUACCAUGGGCGAUAAUAGGAAAAAGAAGCAAUGAAGAAGGAAGGAGUUAAGAGGAUCGCUGCAUUGUGCAGCAGGCAGAUGAAGAGUUUCUCCUCCAGCAAUGGUUGUCAAACUUUGGCACGCAUCAGAACCACCUGGAAGUCUUCUUCAAACCCAGAUUGCUCUACUCCACCCCCAGAGUUUCUGAUUCAGCAAGUGUGAGA